GUAGAAUGUAAACAUUUACACAGAGAAAUAACAAGGAGAACAAGGAAGAGGGAGGGGAAUAUACACUUUGCCCUGCGUGCUACUAGAUUCUUUCAAUUAAUUUUGUUUCCAUUAGGAAGGCUGUGAGGUAUCGUAUUAUUUUCUCUUGGGUGUGUUUAGGGAUUGAAUUUUUCAGUCCUAGUAGUGUUGGUGCUUCCAGAGGGACGCUGAGGGGUCUAAGCUUUGCUUCCAUUUUGUUUCUUGCCGCAUUGUAUUGUUGACAGUGGAGGAGUACGUGGGCUGUGUCUUCUUGUGCUGGGCAUCCGUGUGGGCAAAUAUCCGGGGUUUCUGCUUCGAUUCUGCUGAUAAAGUGGUUGAGUCUGUUGUGACCACUACGAAGGCGUAUCAAGGCGGUUUGUAUGAACCUUUUUUUGUGGUUGUGUCAAGGUUGAAAACCGAAGGCCUCUCUGUUGACCACUGCCAUAUUCGAUGAAGAUAGUUUCAGUCUACCGAACGUGAUUUCCCUGUGGUUUGAUUUAGCAGCUGCUAAAUUUUGAUUAAUGUCUAUUUUGUUUCUUAGUGUGUUUCCACUGUGAGCUUGGCAUUUCUGGAUGUUUGUGGCCAGUUGGUCAGCAACUUCGUUUCCUGGUAUCCCAGCAUGUGAUGGUAUAACUGGGCUGGAUCCCCAUUUGAAGUUUGAUAGUGCUUGGACUGCGGACUUGGAGUCAGAAAAUAUGGUUGUAGAUUCAACUUCUUGAUUGUUGAGUUUAGGGAUAUAGAAGGCGCAGCUGGCAAUUUUUUUAACUUCACAUACUGAGCCAUCAGUGUAGAUUUCUAGGUGGUUGAUGUCUUGAUUGGGCCUUCGAGAGUUGAAUAUUUGGUUUGUUUGGGGUGAGUUUUGGGCUUGCUUUUUUGUGAGUGGGAAGAAGGACGUGGGGAUGUAGAAGUGUUUCCAUGGUGGGAGUGGUUCGACUUCUGGUGUGUGAGCGACUAGAUUUUUAACAAGGUUUUUACCAGUUGGGUCCAUCUUCCUUAUGUAGAUGAUGGCUGAAGGGGUGCCGUUAGGUUUCCACUCUUUCUGGGUUUUCUUUAGUUGUUGGAUGGUACUGUAGGCCGGGUUCCAUGGUUUUUCGUUUAGUUUGAGUAAGUAACUGUAUGCGAGUUGGUCCCACCUGUCUUUAACAGGGUAGAUGCCGGUUUCGAUGUUUAGGAGAGCUUUGGGGGUUGAUUUAAAGCAGCCUAGGAUGAUGCGGAGGAUCUGAUUUUGGGCCUGUUCUAAUUUUCCCAGUCUCGUUUUGGAUAUUGUUGACAGUAUGAAGAAUCCGUAGUCGUAGAUGCUCCGGACCAUGGCUUUGAAUAUUCGGAUGAGUAGUGGGAUUUUUAAGGUGUUUUUUCCAUAGGUUAGCAUUCUUAUUAGGUUGGCCCUCCUGCUCAUUUUAUUGAUGGUGUUGUUGAUUUGCGUUUCCCAAUUCAUUUUUGCGUCGAAUAUCAUUCCGAGGAACUUGUGUUGUUUCACUUCCUUGAUGGUGGCUCCGCUGAGAUUGAGUUUAAGUGCUGGUUCCUCGAUUCUUCUUUUAUUAAAGUUGGUUUUGAAGAGGGGUUUCUGCAGCUUUUUUGGUUUUUGUUGUAGUGUAAAUCGCUACGUCGUCCGCAAACAGUGACACUUCACAUCCCUUAUCUGGCGUCGGGAAGUCAGCUAGCAUGACGUUGAAGAGAAGGGGGCUUAAUACGCUUCCCUGAGGUACUCCUUUGGAGAUUGCUCUCUCUUCCGAUAGGUGAUUAUUUACCUUGAUCCGGAUGCUUCUUCCGUUUGAACAGGAUCCCUUCUAUCCAGGUGUUAUCAUAUGCCUUGGAGAUGUCCAGGAAGAUUGCGGUUGUUGAGCACCUGUUGUUAAAUCCGGAUUUGAUUGAGGAUUCAAGUCGAAUUAGGUUGUCUGUGGUAGUGCAGCCUCUUCUGAAUCCGGUUUGGAAUUUCGGGAGUAUACCCAGGUGAUCUAAGUGUCAUUUUAAUCUAUUGUUAAUCAUUUUUUCCAUAACUUUCCCCAUGCAUGACGUCAAUGAAAUCGGCCUGUACGAUUCUGCUUCCCCAGGAGGUUUAUUUAGCUUGAGAAUAGGUGCUACGGUGGCGCAUUUCCAGUUUUUUGGGACAAAUCCUUGCCGGAACAUUGUGUUAAGUAUUCUUAGGAGAUUCUUUCUGUUUUCCAGGUUUAAAUUUUUUAGCAUUCUGUUAUGUAUUUUGUCCAUGCCGACCGCUUUGUCCGAUAGGUUCGAGAGGCUCUUUGAUAAUUCUUGGAUGCUGAAGUCAGAGUUUAGAGGAUCCGGGUCCGUUUUCUUAAUGUUUUUAUCAAUUUCCAUUUCCAUCUCAGGGGCAGUUGAAUUAGGUUGAUCGUUAACACUAAUCGGGGAGAACUGGUCGAGGAAGAUGUUUGCCUUUUCUAGUGGGUCUUCUGUCCUCGCACCAUUGGGUUUGUUUAGUGGUGUGUUAACAAAUUCUCUUCGUCCGUUCAUCAUUGCUUUUGAGAAUGUCCAGAAUUUUGAGGCAUUUCCUUCGUCUAGAGUUUCAAUAUGGCGUUUCCAUGAUUUGUUCUUUGCUGCCUGGAUAGUCCUUUUCUUUAUUGCUUCCAUUUUGUUAAGGUACAUUUUGUCAGUUUGGAUGAGGGUGGAGCGCCAUAACUUAUAGGCUUUUCUUGCGUUUUUUACUGCGACGCUGCAUUCUUUAGACCACCAUGGUUUUUGUGCCUCUCGGGGAGGUGUGCCAGUCCUAGGGGCGAAGUAUUUGUUGGUGGCUUUAAUUAGUGCGUCGUAGAAGGUGUUGUACAUACUGCCAAGGUUUUGGGCCACUUGGGUGUUUUCAUUUAAUAAGUUUAUUAGUUCUUCAUUCCACUGCUGCCAUUUGUUGUCAUCGAAUUUCCAUACUUGUCUUGGUAGUGUGUGGGUUGUAGUGUUUAUCCGAACUUCAAUCAUAACGGGCAGAUGAUCACUUCCCCAGUAAGGUCCUGUCGCGAUAGAUGUAUUGGUUGCAAUGUUGGGGGUGCAUAGAGUUAGAUCGAUUGUUGCGCGUCGGUUACUUGUCAAGCAUGGUCUUGUACCGAGAUUCUUAGGUGUUGUUAGUAUGAAUUUAUCGUCGCUGAGUAAAUAUUGCUUCAAGUUUCUUCCAGAAGUGUUUGGAUGGUAUCCGUCUUCCCAUAGAUCAGCAUGGGCGUUGAGAUCGCCCCCCACGAUGGCGCUAUUCCCUGUGUAGGUAAGUAUGUUUUCUAGUUGUUCAUAUUUGCAGCGGUUCCCGUUUGGACAGUAUGCUGUUAUCACCUCCAAUCUUUCGUCAUUUUUUAGUUUAAUUGACACACCGAUUGAUUCUAGGUCUUCAUGUGUUGGAACAUCUAUUGCUGUGGCUUGGACGUUCUUCUUGGUAAGUAUGGCUACUCCUCCUCCUUGUGUUGGGCGAUUUAAGACAAACGAGUUGUAUGCAGAAAAGGACACUUUAUAUUCGUCUCUCCAAUGGGUUUCAUUAAGUAGAACAAUAUGCGGGUUGUGGUAACGUAAUUGGUUUCUGAAUUCUUCUAGUCUUGCUCUGUAAAGUCCUCUAGCGUUCCAUUGUAUAAUUUUUAGUGGUGUGGUCAUGGUUUAACAGCUUUUUUUGGUGGCUCAGUUCCAGAUUUGUUUAGGGCUGUUGAUUGUACUCUUUUACCCUGGUUCUUUGUUGACUCAUUUGACUGAUGGCCAGUCUCUUUUUGCAAGGCUUUUUCUUUCUGUCUGGCUAUCCUAUCAUUUCUGUCUUGGAUAAACAUUUCGUACAUUAGAGUCAAGCGGUUGUCGAGACUGGUGAAUCCGGUUGUCAUCUGCGUUUCAAGUUUUAGGAUCGGCUCUAUUACUUGUUUUAUUGUGCUGAUUUUCCUUUCAACUUCUUUCAACCUGUUUUCGAUUGAACUUGGUAUACUUGGGCUUUCUGCAGCUAGCUGGAGUUCGACUACUUUCGCUUUGAGUUGGUCUAUUUCUUGCUUGAGUGUCGUGUCUAAAUUCAUCCUAUGUUCUUCCGUGUUUAUGUUUGUCUUAUUUAUAGGUUCCUUGGGUACUUGUGCUGUACUGGAAUGGAUUCUGCCGGCUUCUGUUACCGAGAGGUUGUGGUCGUAAGCGUACUUGAUUAUUUUUUGUUUGUUAGCAAAUAUAGGACAUUUUGCUGUUCCAGCUGCAUGAUCAGAUUUGCAGCAAGUCGGACAUUUUGGUGGAUUUGUGCAUUGGCUGUACGUGUCGUGGGCGCUGGAGCAGGAUCUGCAAGCUAUAUCAUUGGUGCAUAUUUCUUCAGGGUGACCAAAUUUCCAGCAUUUUCGGCAUAAGGACGGUCUGGGUAUGUAUUUUUUCACCGUGAAAAUUUCGUGGGCAAUGGUGACUUCGCGUGGUAGCGUACUGAUGCUGAAGUACAGUGUGACCAGAGGUAAGUUAGUUAAUGUUUUGUUUGUGUCACGAGAUGUAAACCUUUUCACUUUAAUUACACUUUGGUCAGAUAAUAACUCUAAUAGUUCUUCUUCACUGUUGUUUGUCGAAAAAUUAUAUAUAUCACCCCUCUAACUUCUUGUUCUGAUUUGCAGAGCGAGCACGAGAUUGCAUGUUCGUUCACUAGUUUCGUGUUGAGUAGGGUGGUUUUCUGUAUAUGCGUGGAUGGGUAGAUGUACAACUCUCCACGUUGAGUCCAUUUCGUUCCCGGUCUUACUUGUUCUAUUGCGUCGAUGAGUGCUGUAAUGAAGUUCUUCUUCGCAGUGAGGUUCAUUGCUCGAAACGAGUAUGGUUCCUCAGCUAGCUUAACGAUUAUCGGGGCUCCGCUUGUUGGAUUGCUUGGAUGAUGUGUCAUCGGGGUGGUAAUAUCGUCGAUGGACUCGGAUUCGCAGGUGGAGCUGGACGUCCCCUCGUAAUCCUCGUUGUCCUCCAUGGUACUUCGGUAGCAAGGCAGGUACACCCCCUUUUUUUUUUUUUUUUUUUUUUUUUUCUUUUGCAGUAGUCGUAAGGACGUCAGUUCACUAUCACUUCAGGAAGGAGACUGGCGGCCAUUUUCGAUUAUUUCUAGCAAUAACAGGAGCAGACGAAUCUGAAGAAGAGCACCUUGUUCUGAUUUGAGGCAAUUUCGGACGUUUUACCCGAAUAAAUUAAUAAUAAAAUAUUUUUGGACUGCUCAUCAUUGACAAGAUUUAUGA